CCUACGGGGGGCUGCAGUGGGGAAUAUUGGGCAAUGGGCGCAAGCCUGACCCAGCAACGCCGCGUGAAGGAAGAAGGCUUUCGGGUUGUAAACUUCUUUUCUGAGGGACGAAGAAAGUGACGGUACCUCAGGAAUAAGCCACGGCUAACUACGUGCCAGCAGCCGCGGUAAUACGAAGGUGGAAAGCGUUAUCCGGAUUUAUUGGGGGUAAAGGGCGUGUAGGCGGGAAAGCAAGUAAGAUGUGAAAACCAAGGGCUCAACCCUGAGCCUGCAGUUGAAACUGUUUUUCUUGAGUGCUGGAGAGGCAAUCGGAAUUCGGGGUGUAGCGGUGAAAUGCGUAGAUAUAGGGAGGAACACCAGUGGCGAAGGCGGAUUGCGGGACAGUAACUGACGCUGAGGCGCGAAAGCGUGGGGAGCAAAAAGGAUUAGAUACCCUAGUAGUC
rnacentral:rRNA from 1 species